CACUCAGCAAGAGGGCAGAUACUCAGAGCGUGAGAGAAAGCAGAGAGCACUGCUUCCACGGCCACUCACUCACCCAGGGUGGUGUUGCUGCCUACAGAGGAAGACAGGAUGGUGGGAUUUGAGCCUUUGUGAAUCCACUAGCUCAGGACUAGAUUUUCCACACUGAGUGAGUAAGGAAACUUUGCUUGAGACAUCGGAUGGAUCUAUCCCUAUUUGUUUCUCCUUGAUGAGCAAGUUUUAGUUCCAUCUGAUCCAGGAAUGAGGAAAAAGGUUUGACCUCACUGUGCAGCCCAGGCUGGCCUCAAACUCAUGGCAAUACUCCUGCUUGGACUGUAUGUGCACACUUCUGUGCCAGGCUUAAAAACAUUCUUUGAAGUGUCUCAAUCUGUUUAUUUUUAAAAGAUUAGUUUUCUGCUCUUUAUCAAUUAAGCUAAUUUACAGACUUAUUUAAAGUAUCUUUAAG
ensembl:lncRNA